rnacentral:rRNA from 1 species
UGCCACUGACGCUGAGGCACGAAGGUGCGGGUAUCAAACAGGAUUAGAUACCCUGGUAGUCCGCACAGUAAACUAUGGAUGCUCGCGGUGCGCAAAUUGUUGUACGCCGCCAAGGGAAACCGUUAAGCAUCCCACCUGGGGAGUACGCCGGCAACGGUGAAACUCAAAGGAAUUGACGGGGGCCCGCACAAGCGGAGGAACAUGUGGUUUAAUUCGAUGAUACGCGAGGAACCUUACCCGGGCUUGAACUGCAGGCGAACGAUACAGAGAUGUUGAGGCCCUUCGGGGCGCCUGUGGAGGUGCUGCAUGGUUGUCGUCAGCUCGUGCCGUGAGGUGUCGGCUUAAGUGCCAUAACGAGCGCAACCCUUUUCAUUAGUUGCCAUCAGGUAAUGCUGGGCACUCUGGUGAUACUGCCACCGUAAGGUGUGAGGAAGGUGGGGAUGACGUCAAAUCAGCACGGCCCUUACGUCCGGGGCUACACACGUGUUACAAUGGGUGGUACAGAGAGUCAACCGCCGGCAACGUCGGUUUAAUCAAUAAAGCCAUCCUCAGUUCGGAUUGGGGUCUGCAACCCGACCCCAUGAAGCUGGAUUCGCUAGU